CAGAGUUUCAGACAUGGAUUCUACCCUUGGAAAACCUAGAAUCCUAUAUUUGAUUUGAGCCAUGCAAAUGGAUGUCUUACCCCUUACUUGUCCUCCCAUCUCAACAGGAAAUCAUAGUAGAAGAGGCGUUCCAUGAAGAAUGCUCCCAAUACAGCUACUUGCCUUUCUCAUUAAGAAAACCUACUGACAAGUGUUAGGAGAGAAGCAAUGACUUUGAAACAGCUACUUUAAGGGAGUGAAUAAGAACAUUAAAAGGAACCUCUGCUAUUUGAUGAAAGGACUACAUGCAUAUCAAGUAUGGCAUCCCCAUGAGAUUGUUCAUGCAGCAGUUUAACUAGAAAGGAAUGAGAAACUGCAAAUAGCCAAGCUGGAUUUUCAUAGAAAUACUUUGUUUGCUUGCUUCUUCAAAGAGUUUGCAGCCAAAAUGAUGUUGCCCACAGAAGCACAACAUGUUCCUAAGGGCUUUCCCCAGAACAACCUGUCCUACAUCUUCAUAAGAACAAGGUCUAAAGAGACAAUCAUCCACUGUGCUAUUUUGACAGCCUGCCAAUCCCACAUAUUUGUCCCUCAAGGACAAUGCAAACAGUACCAGGAAAUAUAGCCAGAAUGAUAGUCAAGAGAGGAACAAUAGGGCUCCUGCAUUCAACCCUGAACCCAGAAGGUCUAGUGGAAGGAAAGACUCAAAGUUGCUGAUGUGUUUUCCUUCUUUGUGGAUUACAUCCUCCUUUAUGGAUUGUUCCCUGGGACUUUAAGAGAGAGCAAGGGAGCACAUCUGCAGAAAGAUAAAAUUACCGGUUCUCCGAACUACUCAAAAUUUCCGCUACCGGUUCUCCAGAACUGGUCAGAACCUGCUGAAACCCACCUCUGCGCUAGACCUCCUGAAGUCUAAGGGUUAAAGGGCUGAAUAUCAUACAGGGCUAAAUGUAAAGUAAGAGGAGAGUAGGCAGGAGUAAAAGGAACAGAAUUCACAAUUCUUAAAGAAAAGAGCUAAGGAAAGAACUGUGGAAAUGUUUCCUUAUUGUUGGAAAAGGUUGGCAUUUAAAAAAAAAACAUCAGAAAAAGGAAACCUGUAAGUUUGUUAAGCAUGGUUAUUUUUCACGUAUCACUCUACCAUUGUCAUUCAUAAAUGUAACUAGGCAACAAUAGAAGAUUAGUUGCCUAUCGAUGGAUAACUCAGCAAAAGUUAUAUUUUAUAAUGAACCCGUUUAAAUAUCAAAAGAAAGCAUUCAGCCUCUUGGACUGUGGUUUCUACCAUAACUUAAGUGGAACCUUUUCACAGUAUGUGACAAAGGAGAAAUAAUUCAGCUAUUAAUAAAUCAAUUUAAAACACCAAAAUCUGUAUUUUCAUUCAAUUUCAGCUCCCAGGACUUCCCCAGAGAAGCAAUUAGAUUUCAAAUAGAACUGGAACUUGAAAACAGAAUUUGUUAAAUAAAUGCUGUCAUGCACCCA